GAUGAACGCUGGCGGCGUGCCUAAUACAUGCAAGUCGAGCGAACAGACGAGGAGCUUGCUCCUCUGACGUUAGCGGCGGACGGGUGAGUAACACGUGGAUAACCUACCUAUAAGACUGGGAUAACUUCGGGAAACCGGAGCUAAUACCGGAUAAUAUAUUGAACCGCAUGGUUCAAUAGUGAAAGACGGUUUUGCUGUCACUUAUAGAUGGAUCCGCGCCGCAUUAGCUAGUUGGUAAGGUAACGGCUUACCAAGGCGACGAUGCGUAGCCGACCUGAGAGGGUGAUCGCCCACACUGGAACUGAGACACGGUCCAGACUCCUACGGGAGGCAGCAGUAGGGAAUCUUCCGCAAUGGGCGAAAGCCUGACGGAGCAACGCCGCGUGAGUGAUGAAGGUCUUCGGAUCGUAAAACUCUGUUAUUAGUGAAGAACAAAUGUGUAAGUAACUAUGCACGUCUUGACGGUACCUAAUCAGAAAGCCACGGCUAACUACGUG
rnacentral:rRNA from 1 species